AGAAAAGCGAAAUGAGAGCCCCACACAGGGAAAGCUAAGACAUUUUGAUGUGAACUGUGUUGCCUUCUGUUCUAAGGUUUCAGGUGCUGGCUUUAAGGUUUAAAGGGACCAGCUUUGCUCUGUGAUUCACCGCACCUCUCUCUCGGGUUCCAGGGCGUGCUCACUCCCACACACAGAGCCACUGGGAGAGCGCCGCCAGCCACGGCUGAAACAGGAGGUGGUGUUAAUUUUGAAAGCGAUCCAUGCUGUAAUGUCAUGAACCAGGAAGCUGGAAUCCUUCACCAGCUUUUCAUGCAAAUAUUUGGCUGCAGCUUGAGCUAAAGGACUUGAAAGGAGUGGGUUUAAAAACUGCUUCAUUGUAGGGCUCUCAUUAACCCCAUUCCUACCCCCCUUUGCCCCAUGGUCUGUUUGUCUGCCUCCCCACCUUAUCUCCCUCAGCUCCCUAGAGCUAUCCUUUAAGCACCGAACAACUUGGAGAUCCUCUCUGUGAAGCCAGAAAUCUACACCAAGAAGCAGGCACACGUUAUCCCCUGGUAGCCGCCCUACUUGCCUCCUGAGCAUACCUUCACAGCUUUCCUGGAAUCCCAGAUCCUUCUGAUGGCUCCCACGGAGGGACUGUACGCCUGGCUCUCGUAAUUAAAUCAUCUGUGUGGUGCUAUGCUUGCCUACGAGGGCAUGGGCGGAUAUACUAUGCAAGCAACUUCUGCAAGGCACU